rnacentral:rRNA from 1 species
UACGAAGGGGGCUAGCGUUGUUCGGAAUUACUGGGCGUAAAGCGCGCGCAGGCGGUCUUCCAAGUCAGUGGUGAAAGCCCGGAGCUCAACUCCGGAACUGCCAUUGAAACUGUAAGACUUGAGGAUGAGAGAGGUGAGUGGAAUUCCCAGUGUAGAGGUGAAAUUCGUAGAUAUUGGGAAGAACACCGGUGGCAAAGGCGGCUCACUGGCUCAUAUCUGACGCUCAGGCGCGACAGCGUGGGGAUCAAACAGG